UCAUAGCCCAGAUGGAAGAAAAAAGCCCGGAGCUAAAAAAACUAAUUUUUUCUCUCAGAAAACAGCGACCGGAGGAAGCUCGUUUUAUGGUGUAGAAAAAUAGUUUUUUUAGCGAGGACUUGUAACGUACAGCUGGAAAAAGC
rnacentral:sRNA from 1 species